GUGAGGAAUAUUGGACAAUGGGCGCAAGCCUGAUCCAGCCAUGCCGCGUGCAGGAAGACGCAUCUAUGGUGUGUAAACUGCUUUUGUACGGGAAGAAACACUCCCUCGUGAGGGCGCUUGACGGUACCGUAAGAAUAAGGAUCGGCUAACUCCGUGCCAGCAGCCGCGGUAAUACGGAGGAUCAAAGCGUUAUCCGGAAUCAUUGGGUUUACAGUGUCCGUAGGCGGUUUAAUAAGUCAGUGGUGAAAGGCCAUCGCUACACGAUGGAACGGCCAUUGAUAAUGUUAGACUUGAAUUACAAGGAAGUAACUAGAAUAUGUAGUGUAGCGGUGAAAUGCUUAGAUAUUACAUGGAAUACCAAUUGCGAAGGCAGGUUACUACUUGUGGAUUGACGCUGAUGGACGAAAGCGUGGGGAGCGAACAGGAUUAGAAACCCCAGUAGUCC
rnacentral:rRNA from 1 species